UAAUACCGCAUACGUCCUACGGGAGAAAGUGGGGGAUCUUCGGACCUCACGCUAUCAGAUGAGCCUAGGUCGGAUUAGCUAGUUGGUGAGGUAAAGGCUCACCAAGGCGACGAUCCGUAACUGGUCUGAGAGGAUGAUCAGUCACACUGGAACUGAGACACGGUCCAGACUCCUACGGGAGGCAGCAGUGGGGAAUAUUGGACAAUGGGCGAAAGCCUGAUCCAGCCAUGCCGCGUGUGUGAAGAAGGUCUUCGGAUUGUAAAGCACUUUAAGUUGGGAGGAAGGGCAGUAAGUUAAUACCUUGCUGUUUUGACGUUACCGACAGAAUAAGCACCGGCUAACUUCGUGCCAGCAGCCGCGGUAAUACGAAGGGUGCAAGCGUUAAUCGGAAUUACUGGGCGUAAAGCGCGCGUAGGUGGUUCGUUAAGUUGGAUGUGAAAGCCCCGGGCUCAACCUGGGAACUGCAUCCAAACUGGCGAGCUAGAGUAUAGCAGAAGGUGGUGGAAUUUCCUGUGUAGCGGUGAAAUGCGUAGA
rnacentral:rRNA from 1 species